rnacentral:rRNA from 1 species
AGAGAGAGACAUGCGCGCAUAUCAAUAAGCGGAGGAAAAGAAACUAACAAGGAUUCCCCUAGUAACGGCGAGUGAAGCGGGAAGAGCUCAAAUUUGAAAUCUUAAAGGGUUUCCCUUUACGAAUUGUAGUUUAAAGAAGUGUUUUCUGUUGAGGUUUUGGUAAAAGUUCUUUGGAAUAGGACAUCAUAGAGGGUGAGAAUCCCGUAUUUGACCUUUACUUUCAACUUUGUGAUACACUUUCAAAGAGUCGGAUUGUCUGGGAAUGCAGUCCAAAAUGGGUGGUAAAUUUCAUCUAAAGCUAAAUAUUGGCGAGAGACCGAUAGCGAACAAGUACCGUGAGGGAAAGAUGAAAAGAACUUUGAAAAGAGAGUUAAACAGUACGUGAAAUUGUCAAAAGGGAAGCGUUUGACACCAGUGUUGUUUUUCUGAAAAUCAAUUAAAGAACUGUUUAUGCUAAGCUGUUUAGACUUUAUCAGCUAUCUGUUUAGUUUUGAGCUUUUCUUUAAUGCACUUUUCAGUUAACAAGUCAACAUCAAUUUCUUUUGCUGUAAAAAAGCUUGAGGAAGGUGGCUUGAGAUUCGUCUUAAGUGUUUAUAGCCUCUUGCCUAUGCAGUCGGAGAGAUUGAGGUCUGCAGCGUAGAUCCUUCGGGGCUAAAUGCAUUUGUGCUAAGUUAUAGCAUUUUAUAGACAACUUGUUGACUAUGAUUUGUCUUGUAGCUUACUCGCUUAUGUUAUUUUACCUACGCUUAGGAUGUUGACGCAUGAGAUAUACGC